CAGUAGCCGCGGUAAUACGAAGGAUGCAAGCGUUAAUCGGAGUUACUGGGCGUAAAGCGUGCGUAGGCGGUAGGUUAAGUCUGCUGUGAAAUCCCCGGGCUCAACCUGGGAAUGGCAGUGGAUACUGGCUCGCUAGAGUGUGUCAGAGGAUGGUGGAAUUCCCGGUGUAGCGGUGAAAUGCGUAGAGAUCGGGAGGAACAUCAGUGGCGAAGGCGGCCAUCUGGGACAACACUGACGCUGAGGCACGAAAGCGUGGGGAGCAAACAGGAUUAGAUACCCCCGUAGUCCCUGUCUCUUAUAC
rnacentral:rRNA from 1 species